UGAUUAUGAUGUUAACAAUAAGGAAGAUGCUGAUAAAGUUGAAGCAUUCUAUGAGAAAAUUAAAGGUCAUUCUUCAAUUGAAAUAGAAUUACCGUUUGCUGACCAAUUCUGGGGUGGCAAAAUGGGCGUCUUUACCGAUAAAUACGGUGUUCGUUGGAUGUUACAUGGUCAAGACUAUACUGCAAUCCAACAAUAAUGUUAUUGA
rnacentral:sRNA from 1 species